AGAACGAACGCUGGCGGCAGGCUUAACACAUGCAAGUCGAACGCUCGUAGCAAUACGGGAGUGGCAGACGGGUGAGUAACGCGUGGGAACAUACCCUCCGGUUCGGAAUAGCUCAGGGAAACUUGGAUUAAUACCGGAUACGGCCGAGAGGCGAAAGAUUUAUCGCCGGAGGAUUGGCCCGCGUUCGAUUAGCUAGUUGGUGAGGUAACGGCUCACCAAGGCGAUGAUCGAUAGCUGGUCUGAGAGGAUGAUCAGCCACAUUGGGACUGAGACACGGCCCAAACUCCUACGGGAGGCAGCAGUGGGAAUAUUGGACAAUGGGCGCAAGCCUGAUCCAGCCAUGCCGCGUGAGUGAUGAAGGCCCUAGGGUUGUAAAGCUCUUUUGUGCGGGAAGAUAAUGACGGUACCGCAAGAAUAAGCCCCGGCUAACUUCGUGCCAGCGGCCGC
rnacentral:rRNA from 1 species